CCGUUAUCUUUGUAAGAAAUACAUAACGGUAAGAACCGUUAUGUUUUCAUAUUUUUACCGUUAUGUAUUAGAGAUAUAUUUAUUUUUUUUCAUCAUAGUUAACAGUUUUUUGUACUUUUUAUAACGGUUUUAACCGUUAUCUUUAUUAUUUAAUAUUUAAUAUUUUUUUUCAAUUUUAUGUUAUUUAUCUCAAGAAAUAAAUAAAUAACUUAUAAACAAUAAAAUGAUAAAAUCAUCAAUAACAUAUAUUAUAUAUAACACAAAACAUUCAUACAUUAUCAUCCAAAACCUUCAUACAUAAUGUUUUCAGCCUAACUCAAAAAAAAAAAAAAAGAAACUUCACAGAAGCACCUUCAUGCUCCAACUUCAUUGGUAUAUUUGCCC
rnacentral:lncRNA from 1 species